rnacentral:rRNA from 1 species
AGUGAACGCUGGCGGCGUGCUUAACACAUGCAAGUCGAACGAGAACGGAUUAUAGCUUGCUAUAAUUGUCAGCUAAGUGGCGCACGGGUGAGUAAUGUAUAGGUAAUAUGCCUCUUACUAAGGGAUAACAAAUGGAAACGUUUGCUAAUACCUUAUACUCCUUAUUAACAGAAGUUAAUAAGGGAAAGAUUUAUUGGUAAGAGAUUAGCCUGUAUUGUAUCAGUUAGUUGGUGGGGUAAUGGCUUACCAAGACUAUGACACAUAACUGGUUUGAGAGGAUAAUCAGUCACACUGGAACUGCGACACGAUCCAGACUCCUACGGGAGGCAGCAGUGGGGAAUAUUUCACAAUGGACGAAAGUCUAAUGCAGCAACGCCGCGUGGAGGAUGACACAUUUCGGUGCGUAAACUCCUUUUAUAUGAGAAGAUAAUGACGGUAUUAUAUGAAUAAGCACCGGCUAACUCCGUGCCUGCCGCCGCCGUAA